CGCACACCCCCGAGGGGAUUCAGGAGGUGGCUCCGUGGGUGGAGGGUGGAUGAACCCAGAGCUUUGUCCCCAUGGCUCCCAGUCCCUCCCUCCUGGGAUUCUUCUUUGCCAGUUCCUCAAAGCAAGACCAGAUACAAAAUCCACUGCAAAUGGAGGCACAGAACCCCGUCUCCAGAGUGUCUUGUCUUUGCCAGAUUGAAGCCAAAACUAAACAGCACAAAGGACUCCUGAGGCCCCUCCCCUCCCUGAGGACCUACUGGUGGCUAAUGGUUGGGCAGAGUGGUCAUUUUCUCUAGUGUUUCAGCCACUAGUGGGUUGUACAUGGUCCAUUAAGUAACCUCCCACCCUUGCUCCUGUGAUGAAGCCCAGUGGGUCACACAAAAACCAAGUUAAAUUUAAAGCAUUUCAAAGGAGCCGGUGAGAGAAGUCCACAUGUAAAGUUAUUUCCACAUAAGCCUGACAAGAAUUCAACCCCCAGAACCCACACAAGGCCGAGAGAGCACAGCUGUUCACAUCUGUAAUCCCAGCUUUCCAAGGGGAGGUGGGAGGUAGGGACAGGUACUGUCCUAGAGUGCACAGUAGCCGAUGAUCACAGCAGCUUGGCAGAAACUUCUUACUCAGCAAGGAAGAAAGAGAAGACCUACUCCUAAAAAUGAUCCUCUGAUCUCCACAGGCAUGGUGUGACCCACGUGCAUGCAAACACACUCGUGUGAGCGCAUGCGUGCUCGCACACACACAUGCACUUGGAAUAAAAACAUUUUAAACAUAA
ensembl:lincRNA Gm14968 predicted gene 14968